CUGCUUUCCGCGCACGGGAGGAGGACGCUUGGGCUAUGCCGCGGCAGGGGAAGCCGUGAGACCACCAGGCUGAGCCCUUCUUCCCCCACGGCCUGGCUGGAGCUGGGGAAGGAGCUGGACAAGCCAGGGCUGAGGAUCCCCCGCUCGCCGUGGUGCGCUCCGGUUGCUCAGUCUGGACGUACCCUCCACGUGGCAAUUCUCCGAAGUGGAAAAAGCAGCACUCCAGGGUGAAACAGCCUCUCAGGAUGCCGAAUUGCUGGUGAUUCAACAACGCCAGUUCAGGUGCUUAAUUCAUGUCUGCAAGGCAGGAUUUAAACGCAGGAAAAUACCUGCGCUAGGAGCUGGAAAGUUAAUUGUGGAGACGUUGCGCCUUAGUCCCUCCUGUGGAUCUGUUGCCUGGAUAAGGGCGGAUCAGACAGAACAUGAUUUUCUCUUCCCUUAUGCUGCUCUGACUCUACUGAGUUCAGAAGGAUGACUCUUGAUUUAUGCUGGACAAGAAAGGCAAUGCUCUGAAAGAAAUGACUGCAUUUUCCUAACCUCCAAAGGAGGAAAAAAAAGAGAUACAGAAAGAAAAGCCAGCAGCAGGCAUCAGAAGAGACAGAAAGAAGUAAGAAAGCAGUCGGCAGCCGGAGACAGGACCCAAAAAGGAGACGACUUCUGGCUAUUUUAAGGUUUAUUUCUUAGUUAGAUGAAGCUAUGGAAGCUCUAACGGACCAGGUCUUUUCAGUACAACUGCACUGGGAAGUCAUUCAAGAUAAACCAGUUUUCACUGCGUUUUGGGCUUGAUUAAGACCAUGAGCUUCUAGUGAGGACUCCACCUCUCCACAAACUAGCAGUGCAUUUCGGAAUGAAAGUUUCAUUUUAGAACGACUCCUCAGAAAAGGGCAGCCUGUGGGCAGAGCGGUGAGAAAGAGGGAUGGGACACCCUGCUCCUCUCUCUGGAACUGCACCACAUCUGCGGGAAGGUGGAAGAAGGAAAGGCUUGUAAGGUGGUUUACAUCAUGAAGAGUGGCUGCCCUUUUCACCCAUCAUAUACCACCUGGCUCCCCACAUCUGGUGUGUGCAUUUGGGAUCUAGAAGCUACACACUUCUGGAGGAGGUUGGUAAGAAGUGAAAAGGGGCAGUCUGACCCUUUGAUAAAUCCAUGCCUUUCUGUGAAGGUCCUUUUUUAUUUGUGAGGAUUCUUGCUUUUGUGAGUUCAGUUGUGACUUCCUCUGUGUCCAAGAACACAUCUUUUUAGCACAUACACACUUAGGUAUAGAUACAUAAAUAUAUGUACAUAGAUAGACACGCACAUGCUUAGAGGUUCAUUUUAUAGUAACAAGGUUAUAACCUCCCUGUGGCAGCAACUCUGCCUAGCUCUGUUUGUGUAACAUUAAUUCUCUGGGGCAUUACAUGUACGCAGUCUGCUCAAGCCUUCGAGUCAAAUGCAGUAACAGUAUUAUGUCAGAGUUGUGUGGAAUCAUUCAUUUAGCCUACAUGCAUUUGUAAAACUAUUAGAAUAAUCCAGAAUCAGGAGUAUUUCCCAGAGGAAUUCUGCAGUCUUAGAUUGGUAUUUACUUUGAGAUCUUUGCCUGCAAGGAGUUAAAAUAAACCUUAGCCUGGUCUUAAGCAUAUCAGUCUUGGUUUGCUCAUCUCUGCUAUUUACAGAAGUUCAAGAAAAGGAGCCAUAAUCCAUCUAAAGAAUGUAGGAUUUUUUUUUCCAAAAAUUUUUGGACUAAAACAUUUCACAUGUUGCACAGACACUACAGUCAGUAGCCCUGAGGAUGUUCCUACUGCAUUAAGAACAUGAGACCAGCUGCACUGGGUCAGACCAAAAGUUUGUCUUGUCCACUAGCCUGUCAUGAGUGUCAGCAGGGUCACUUAGAAAAAAAGGUGUCACAGCAGGAUAAGCACAAAAAAGUCCUGGAUGGCAAAUGAGCACUGA